rnacentral:rRNA from 1 species
AUUGAACGCUGGCGGCAGGCUUAACACAUGCAAGUCGAACGAGUGGCGGACGGGAGAGUAAUGAUUGGGAAUCUGGCUUAUGGAGGGGGAUAGCUACGGGAAACUGUAGCUAAUACCGCGUACCAUAGGCUGAGCCCAAGUGGGAUUAGGUAGUUGGUGAGGUAAAGGCUCACCAAGCCGACGAUCUCGAGCUGGUCUGAGAGGAUGACCAGCCACACUGGGACUGAGACACGGCCCAGACUCCUACGGGAGGCAGCAGUGGGGAAUAUUGCGCAAUGGGGGCAACCUGACGCAGCCAUGCCGCGUGAAUGAAGAAGGCCUUCGGGUUGUAAAGUUCUUUCGGUAGCGAGGCGUUAACUACAGAAGAAGCACCGGCUAACUCCGUGCCAGCCGCCGCGGUAAUAC